rnacentral:rRNA from 1 species
CCUACGGGAGGCAGCAGUGGGGAAUAUUGGACAAUGGGGGAAACCCUGAUCCAGCAAUGCCGCGUGGGUGAUGAAGGCCUUCGGGUUGUAAAGCCCUUUUGGCGGGGACGAUGAUGACGGUACCCGCAGAAGAAGCCCCGGCUAACUUCGUGCCAGCAGCCGCGGUAAUACGAAGGGGGCUAGCGUUGUUCGGAAUUACUGGGCGUAAAGGGCGCGUAGGCGGCCUUGAUAGUUGGGCGUGAAAGGCCUGGGCUUAACCCAGGAACUGCGUUCAAUACUGUAAGGCUAGAGUGUGGGAGAGGUUGGUGGAAUUCCCAGUGUAGAGGUGAAAUUCGUAGAUAUUGGGAAGAACACCGGUGGCGAAGGCGGCCAACUGGACCACAACUGACGCUGAGGCGCGAAAGCGUGGGGAGCAAACAGGAUUAGAUACCCUAGUAGUC